AUUUGAGUAUUUUGGUCCAUCUGAUGAUUUUUCAAUAUGAAAUGAUUGAUGUUUUGAUCAGCUAGUCUUUUAGCAAAAAUACUUUUUUACUGAAUAAGUCAUUUUAAGGUUAAUGGAAUCACAGCUACUGAAAGGACCCAAGCUUGAAGCUUCUACCUCUAGCAACAUCUUCCACACAGAAGAGUCAUUGCCGGAUCACAAAAUAAAUGAACCUCCAUUUGUUUAUGACCAAUUCUGGUCACCAGGCACUUUCUCAGUGCAUCUCAAGUAAAAAUCACUGCAGUUUGGCAUUGUUGCAGCAAUACAAAUACCUGACAUAAAUACACAUAAGACUGUUUUACACUUCAAAUUUACUUGUGAAUCCUGAUAUGGCGGUAUUUUGAGUCUAAAAAAAAAAGCCACCACAAGAGCUCAUAUUGGCCCAUCUAACGGUGUGCGAUUAUUUCGGUUUGUGAUCAGUAAAAACAUUUAAAUUGCUUAUAAGUUUGAGAUUUCAUCAAUAAAUGUGCAGGCUGGUUUAUAGCCAAUUUGUAAUGGAGGCGGAAAGAUUAGAGUUGGAGAAAAACCUUGGAUUGUACAUCCAUGCCAGGCCUAAAACUACAUGUGGGAACUUCUGCUUUUCUUUAAGCCACUGUGGAUCAAAAUUAUACAUACGAUGAAAAAGAAGUACUAAUAAACAGUUUCAAUUGGUCGAGUUUAGAAAUAAAUCAUUUUUGUCUGGUUUUACAGUUGUGUGGAUCGGUGACGGCCAGACUGCAUCUGAAAAAGGCACCUACUGUUUUAAGUGUUAGGAGGAGUUAUCAGUAAUUGAGAAAAGGAGGGUUGCAGUAAUUCAGGAACAGACAUAAUUAUUUGACAUCAAAGCAAGUGAAACAUGAAAAAUGGAGUUGAGUAAAACUGAGUAAAUAGGCAAGAGAGUAAACACUGGGGGACUUUCUGAAAUAAAAAUCCCUGUUUGUGAUGUUGAAGCCCCUCAUUUUGGCAGGUAAUUCAGAAAUUCAGAUGUAUAUUUCAAUGUGGCACUUCUGCUCCAUGUCUUUUUUUUUUUUGCUUUUCAAAAUAAGAUAUAAAUAGUGUAAUCAAACUACUUCAACCCCAUCAGAAGCACUAAGUCCUAAGUCCUGUAGACGGAGUUUGUCUUCAACCUUCUUGAAAGGAUACAACUUAAAAAGAAACGAGGGAAAAUCCAAAAAAAGUGUCUUGUGCUCCACAGCUGUUUUCCUUUUCAUUCACAGUCUCAUCUAAAGGUUCGAGGUCAGCUCAUCCCUUCACCAUUUCCUACCAUGUUUCAUACUACACGUGACAACCAACAUUUUUACCACAUUUUGCAUCUCGUCUUCUGGGCAUUUUUGUGAGAUAAUAUUUGUAAGAAUUGAAAAAAAAGCAAAUUUUUCAACUCCUCUGCUUGAAAAAACACCAAUUAUAAAUGAUUAUGAUGCAUAAUUGAAUAAAAAUAAACUUAAGAUUUAAUAUUGCUUUUUCUAUUGAUAUGAAUGUAAAUGUGUAAAGAAGUCAAUGAAUAAAGUAUGAUUCAAUUACAAUAAUUCAGCAGUUUUUGACUUAUGUUAAACCCUGAACUGAAGGUUAAAUAUCUGAAGAAGAGUGAAGUCACAUAAACUGCAGAUGAUUUCAGAAGCAUAAAUGAAUAAUUUAUUAUUUUUUAAUUCAGGACUCAAAAUCAUUUAAAAUGUUUUUUUUAUUGUUGUUGUUGUUUAAAGUGGUGGUUUUUCUUUUACUGUAAACAGUUUUUAGCCAAUCCCAAAUAAUAGAUUAUUCUAAAAUCAUAAUCACAAAUUGAAACAUUUCAUCGGUUUCCAAAUUUAAUAAGAUUUUUUGCACUAUAAAUAUGACAGGAAAAAUCUGAAAAGGCUUUUGACUAAUUCUAGAUGAAUACAGGGACACUGCUAAAGAAUAAUGUCUUUUUUUU